rnacentral:lncRNA from 1 species
UUUAACUAAUUAGAAAAAUAAAAAUAUAAACUGUCCAAUUUAAUUAGUCCAUCACCAUCGACAUUCCCAAAGUGCCAAAAGCCCUAAUCGCGCGUCUCCGCCAUCCCCGCCCAUCUCCGACUAAAUCUCCACCAUCUUUCAGCCAUUAAACUUCCACCAAAGCUCCAUAGAAAAGGCCACCUUCUGCUCCUAUUAAACCAGCAUCGAUUGCUUGAAGAAAAUCAUAUUUCAAUCUCUCUGUUAGAGACAACAAAAUUGCAUAAAUCCUUUUUGGUGAUAUCGACUGCUCGACGGAUAAAUUUUUGGUGUCUGCUGAAAUUUGUCGGCGUGUGAAACUCCAAGGAAACAAAGAAACUAACAUCAUUCCAAGACUUAGGAUUUGAGCGGGUGAAAUCACAGGUACUUUCUUUCUCUCAAGUUUUUUGCCUAUAUUUAAUGGGUUUUCUUUAAUUUUUUGUCAAAUAAGGGUACAAUGUGUAUUAUCUAAAUCUCAAAGCAUAAGUUUUGCUAUAUUCAGUCAAGGAAAUUUGCUAGGUUUUAGUCGUCAUUUUCUUUCAAGAUUUUUGGUUUCCUUCAUCUUCAGUCCGUUUCUCUUUUAAUCUCUCAAGUUUUUCGCCUACUUUUUUUAAUGGAUUUGUAUAAAGAGGGUUGCUAAAGGAACGAUAAAGAAUUUUUCUUAUUUUUCUGUUGUGGGGUUUUCUUGAAUUUAAUAUUUUUGGUGGUUGGAGGAAGAAAGAUGUGAAAUUUCUGUUAGUGGAGGAAGUUGGAAUGUUAAAGAUUUGAAUUUUUUUAACCUUUUCGAUACGUGAGUUUGAACGAGUUAAUGGAUUAACUGGUUUGAGAUUUUUAUUGAAUUACUUUAGCUAGUUUGCUGCUUGGUUUAGCGUUUAUUGUUGUUGUAUUUCUUCCUUUUAUAAGUACAGAAAAAUAGGGAGAGAAAUAAUCAGAGUAAUGUAUGCUAACCUGAGGAAUGUGUCGACAGGGUUUCGCAGGCUUGGCCUGUUGAACAGAUGAUGAGAAUUCAUUGGGAAAUACUUACCUCUCCAAUUACAUCGAUGUCUCUGUUGCCUAUGAUGACCUCUAAGAAUUUUGAACAACUUGUACAUAACAUUUAGCAAAAUUUAUGUAUUUUGCUGUAAAUUUAUUUCAAAGCUUAUCAGGUUAUGCAGUUUAUUCUUCUGUUCAAUUGUAUUUUCUUAAAUGGGGUGGUGAAAAAGAAGAAGCAUGAUAUAAGAAUACAAAACUUAUUUUUCAAUGCUAUCUCUGUCUUUGGGUGAACCAUCUUUUUACAAUUAUUAGAUAUUGAUAAUCACUUAUCUUUUGUUUCCAUAACUGACUAUGAUAACUGAUAAUUCACUUGCUUAAUUCUGCCAUACAUGGCCAGUGGACAAUCAUAUAGUGUCAUCUAAUUUUUUAUUCAUUUUCUGGUAUUAGUUGUUUUAAUAUUCAAGACAACGAAAAUUGUGAGGACACAUAUCAAAUAUGAUAAACGUAGUGAUACACAUAUAUACGCUUACGUACAUACUAGAUGAUAUUGUAUGAUUGAAAUCUCUGUUUUGAAUUUGGAAAAUGAAAAGAACAAGCAACAGUUGAUCAAAAAGUGUGCAGUGUUUAUAUCAUAUUACAAAGUCAUUAAUUUUAUAGGGCAGGUUUAGGUGUUUGGUGAGGGAAGGUUCCAACCAUGUGUAUGCUAGCCCUGGACUGAUCUGAAAUGUCUACUGACCUGCUCUAGUUAUUCCGAACCAGUUAAGGGGUCUUGAGAUUAUAAAUUUUUAGUAGAACUAAUGGGACUAAGGCAUAUGUUUUUCUGUGUCAUCUACUAGUGCUCGGAUCACUUAGCUAAACCUCUCUGAAACCUUAAUUUAUUAGGAAUAGUACUUCUAAGUGUUCUGACACAUGUUAAGAUCAAUCUUAAAGUCACUAAUAUUAUUAGACUCUCUUGUGUUAGUGUUCUGAUAAGGGAUUCUGGGGUCAAUAUUGUAAUUGUCUAUGCACUAUUUACAUCUUGGUACUUUGAUGGUAGUAAAACGUAUUCUAUAUAUGUUUAAUGUAAUGUGUUGAAUAUUUGUGCAUCUAAACCUUUGAAAGGCUUACUAUGAUCGUAUAUGCCUACUACUUGUGUUCUGGCAAUAUGGAAUUGCUAAGUUAACAAUUUAGAUAUGCCUAAAACUUAGAGUAAAUGUAAAAAUGAAUGACUAAAGGUAAUUGGGUUCAUGGUUAGGAUACCCCUCCCUAGCAUAAGCACUGCUCCGGGUCCUUGAGAUCUUUGUAAACUCUAAAGUGCUAGGUCCUUGUGCUUGUGAAUCUUAGCUUUAUUGAUUUCUUUUUGAACUUCAUGAUCUUGCAUUUGAGGGCCAGGAGUUUGGUUAAGAACUUCAGCAGUUUCCUCCGAGCUUGCAAUUGAAACUUGUUGUUCACUGUCGUACCUAUAUCCUUCUUUGCCGAACCUCUGCUUGUAUAUGAUUUGUGCCAUUGCUGCUACAUCUUUUGUUAAAAAAAUAAUCCCUGAACUUUCUCUUCUAUAUAUGUAGAUUCCAUCGUACUUUGCAUUGAUUUGGAGUCCCAUUGUGUUUCCAGCUUCUUGUCUUGUGAAUCCUCACAUUUAGGCUUGCUGAUCCACACCAUAUUAGCUUCCUCUUGGCAUAUGUUAACUAGAAAUCCAGCUGCUCUUUGAAUCCUUCGUGCACAUCUGCUAGUAUUUCUCGCUAAAAGGAAGAUCCAGACAUGUCGAAACUGUGUUAGCAUUCCUUGUUGUAUUAGUGUCUCAUGUGAUUUCCAAUCUUCUUCUGUUGAUUUCUUCAAUUGGUAUCCUUCCUGUGAUGUGUAUGAAGUAACAUACCUUGGGUUAUUUCCAGAAAUGUUUCUUCUGUAUAAUUUCAAAAGAUGAUUUACAAGGAAUGUCUAAAGAUUAUGUGAUCUUCUGAAUAUUAGUCUAUGCUUCAUGUUAACCUUGAAUAUGCAGUACACACUUAAUGGUAAAUCAUUGCUUGUAAAAUUAAGUAGUAGUUUUAAGCUGAAGUUGGUGCGCUGCUGGUCAUUUAUGCUCAAUUACAGCUGCAGAGCAAGCUGACUUAAUAAACCAAAUCCUUUUUUCUUUCAAACAACCUUCCAAGUGCUGGUCUCCUCUUUUUUACACUUCCUCUUAGUAUUUUCCUCUUUAAAAAAAGUCAUACUGCUUUCUCUACAUCAAACUAGCUACCUUUAACAUAAGCAUACAUUUCUUUUUGAACUUUUUUCUCUAGUUGCCCAGUCGGCUUCAAUAAACCAAUGUCAAAAAAUAGCCCUUCCCAGCCUAUAUAUAUGCCCAUUUCAAAGUCAUCAAAACAAACAAAAUCUACUAUUGUUAUCAUAUUUUGGAGUUGGUAGGUGAAGUUACUUUUUUCAUGGGAAGGUAGAAUAGUUAUCCUAAUACUGCACUAUUACAAGAAAGAUUCAGGCAAUUAGAAAGAGCAACAGUAAAAUCAUUGAUCAGAGCCGCAUGUAGUGACUUCAGCCAAGAAUUUUGUCGCCUACAAGCCAGACUUACCACAUGAACUGAUUUCUCUAUUGCGGUCUGCGGACGUCUAAAUCAGAUCAGCUCUUUCUUGGACUCAGUUUGAACAGCAAGCAUACAACAGUCCAAUUUAGAAAGACUCGAAAUUCGCGGUGGAGUUUGAAUCCUAAGCAUAAAAAAAGAAAAUUUCUGAGUUUGAUACUUCUCUUCAUUUAAUUUGUAGGCAUGCACUUUUUAUGCCCCAAUCUUAAGAAUUUUGCAUUUAUCCUUUUGUCGUGCACAACUGAAAACUAUGGCAUCUAAUUGUAGUAUAUUUGGACUUCCUGUAACAAACAUUUUUAAAAAAAAAAGGUCAUGCCGACUUAUAGCAAUUGUAUAGGCUUUGCAUAUGUUCCACAUGACACAUUCUAGUACAUUUGAAAACUUUGUGCUUUAUGCAUUGUUUAUGGGCCAUACCCAUUCUUACAAUGAUAAACCAACUCUUGAAGGAUAAUGACUUUAUUUAUCCUCUUUUGUAGGUGGAGCAAUUGAAGAAAGGGAACAUGGAGAUUGUGAAGAUCUAGACCUUAUUUACGAACUUUGAAUUGUUGUCCUUGUUGUAGGAAUCUUUUGUUAUCAAUGUUUGAAACUUAUUCUAACUCUUGAAAUGAUGAAAUGUAAAACUUAUGUGAUAUUGAGUUAAAAUAUUUUUAUUUUAUGGAGAAAAUGUAGAUU